AACGAUGAAGAACGCAGCGAAAUGCGAUACGUAGUGUGAAUUGCAGAAUUCCGCGAAUCAUCGAGUCUUUGAACGCAAGUUGCGCCCGAGGCUUGUCCGAGGGCAUUUCCGCUAGAGCGUCAC
rnacentral:rRNA from 1 species